rnacentral:tRNA from 1 species
GGGUGUGGCUCAGUGGUAGAGGGCUUGCCUAGCAGGCAUGAGGCCCCAAGUUUGAUCCAUAGCAAUGCA